UUCUAUAUUUUUAUUCUAUUUAUAGGUAUAUAUUAUUCAUUCUAUAAAACAAUAAUUUACAUAAUUUAUUUGUUGUACUUCACAUUUUACCACAUUUAUUUUUAAAAAUACAAUAAUGACCUCGAUGAUUAUUAUGACGCCGUUAACCUGGGGAUUUACUUUUGAUUUGUACUAUCAACUAUAAAUAGAAAAACGUUAACUUUAAUCCUUUAUACCAGUUUAAACUAAGAGCCAAUUUUUCAUCAUGCGGGUAACAAUCGUACUGUGUAUGUUCUGUGUGAUUUUGCUGGGAGGUUUCGGUUAUGCUAAGGCAGAUGGUUCAACGGAAAAAUGCCCAGAGGUGCACAUCAAGUGUAUUUGGUGUCGCAACAGUUGCCCGGAAGAUUUGAAACUGAUUAAGAGCCCGUGCGGAUGUUGUUACAACAAAUGUGUGUCGAUUUAUCCAAGGAGUUAGAGGGAUUUAUAAGAUGAUCCAAGAAAAGGCAUUUUUGGUUCCAAGGACCUUAUAUUUUUAUAAGAGUUUAUAGAAUAGAAGUAAAAUUAUAUAUAAUUUUUUUUUUUUAUAUUUAUAUUAUUAAUGUGCAUUCAUAUAUUUUUCAAUGGAAUAUAAAUUAUAUUUUGGUCGUA